AGGCGCGUAGCUCAGUUGGUUAGAGCGCUUCCUUGACAUGGAAGAGGUCGGUGGUUCGAAUCCACUCGUGCCUACCA
rnacentral:tRNA from 3 species